rnacentral:rRNA from 1 species
UGAACGCUAGCGGCAGGCCUAACACAUGCAAGUCGAGGGGUAACGAUGGCUUCGGCCAGGCGACGACCGGCGCACGGGUGAGUAUCGCGUUUGUAACCUACCUCUAACUGGAGCAUAGCCCGAAGAAAUUCGGAUUAAUACUCCAUAAUACUAUGAUCUGGCAUCUUUUUAUAGUUAAAGCUCCGGCGGUUAGAGAUGGGCAUGCGUGACAUUAGUUUGUUGGUGAGGUAAGAGCUCACCAAGACUACGAUGUCUAGGGGGUCUGAGAGGAUGGUCCCCCACACUGGUACUGAGACACGGACCAGACUCCUACGGGAGGCAGCAGUGAGGAAUAUUGGUCAAUGGGCGCAAGCCUGAACCAGCCAUGCCGCGUGAAGGAUGACGGCGCUACGCGUUGUAAACUUCUUUUGUACAGGAAGAAACACUUCUACGUGUAGAAGCUUGACGGUACUGUACGAAUAAGCAUCGGCUAACUCC